rnacentral:rRNA from 1 species
GUGUCAGCCGCCGCGGUAAUACGUAGGGGGCGAGCGUUGUCCGGAUUCAUUGGGCGUAAAGAGCUCGUAGGCGGCUUGGCAAGUCGGGUGUGAAAUCUCCAGGCUCAACCUGGAGUCGCCACUCGAUACUGCCAUGGCUAGAGUCCGGUAGGGGACCAUGGAAUUCCUGGUGUAGCGGUGAAAUGCGCAGAUAUCAGGAGGAACACCAGUGGCGAAGGCGGUGGUCUGGGCCGGAACUGACGCUGAGGAGCGAAAGCGUGGGGAGCGAACAGGAUUAGAUACCCCCGUAGUCC